rnacentral:rRNA from 1 species
GAUGAACGCUGGCGGCGUGCUUAACACAUGCAAGUCGAACGAAGCACUUUAACCUGAUUCUUCGGAUGAAGGUUUUUGUGACUGAGUGGCGGACGGGUGAGUAACGCGUGGGUAACCUGCCUCAUACAGGGGGAUAACAGUUAGGAAUGACUGCUAAUACCGCAUAAGACCACGGAGCCGCAUGGCUCAGUGGGAAAAACUCCGGUGGUAUGAGAUGGACCCGCGUCUGAUUAGGUAGUUGGUGGGGUAACGGCCUACCAAGCCAACGAUCAGUAGCCGACCUGAGAGGGUGACCGGCCACAUUGGGACUGAGACACGGCCCAAACUCCUACGGGAGGCAGCAGUGGGGAAUAUUGCACAAUGGGGGAAACCCUGAUGCAGCGACGCCGCGUGAGCGAAGAAGUAUUUCGGUAUGUAAAGCUCUAUCAGCAGGGAAGAAAAUGACGGUA